ensembl:lncRNA HAND2-AS1 HAND2 antisense RNA 1
GCCGAGGUCCUCUUCCAGGAUUGGCUACCUCCUCAUAACCAUAAGAUAAUUAAAACUUGGCGGGGGGGGGGGGCAGGGUUAAAAAAACUUUUUUUAUCAGUCAGAGGAUAAUGCAAGUGUUUAACAGAUGCUUCACUAUUAAAAUAUUUUCCCCCCAAGUCUCAAAUAUUGAAGAAUCUCUAACCAGGGACACCAGUCCCUACGAAGACCUUGGGCGAUUUUGAAGUGCGGGCACCUCGAUUCCCCGAAUCUGUAGUGUGGCUGGUAUCGGUGUUCCCCUGGUUUAACUAGCCUGUUUGAAGGCACAGAUCAUUCAUGGGGAUGUAUAACCGAAACCAGUCCUCUCCACCGCCUGGGGAUCUUCACUUUCGCAGUCUACGACUGCCUGUGACUCCAGAAAGACAAACUGCAGAUUGGCCAAGGUCCAGCCUAAAUGUUACCUCCUCCAGGGAGCCUUUCCAGAUACUGCUUCUCCUCUCUCCCCCAACUCCCUCCCACAAAUGAAGUUUUCUCUUCUGAAUUCCUUGCUGGUACUGUCACUUAUAUUCUUUUGGGUAGAUCUCUGGGCAUGCAUAUGUCACCUCCUGUGACUGUGGGUUUCUUGACAACCUAAUCAAUGCAUUGAACAAAGGAGAUGUUUAGACAACCCAUAUAAAAUGAAUAAGAGAAAUAGGGUGAAUACCGUCUACCCCAAUUGCAAUCAGAUUAGUUUCCUUUAUUUUGAAAACGAUUAGAACUAGUAGAGGAGUUAGAUGUGGCCCACUAGGGAACAAAUUUUCAUCUCCAAGCCGUCCUCUGGCUCGAUCGGGUCUGCACUGGGUCUGCAUCAACUUGCGCUGGCUCAGAGGGAGGCUCAGCCCCAGCCUGGCCUUCCUGGUGCCCACUCCCAACAUCCUGAGCAGGGCCGACUCUAGGCACCCCACGAUUAGCUGAGUGAUCUAGGGCAAGGACCUAGGCGUCUCUAAGUCUUAGUUUCCCCAUCUGAACAAUGUGGAUAAUGACACGUACCUGGGGUGGGCAGGCUAGAGUAAAUGGGAAAAUCAAAGCGCCAGCCAGAGCGGGUCGCACUGUUAGUUCCUGUAUUUUCUCCUCCUGCCUCUGGUUUCUUCCGUUCCGUUCUAGCUGCCUGAAGACCCAGCCCGACAGCGAUGCCUGUCAGCCCGCGUCGCCCACCAGGGCAGCUGCUCUCCCAACUCGCAUGGGGGGCACCACCCCGCCUCGGUGCCCUAGAGCUGAGCGCAGCCGCGGCUCCACGGGGAUCGCCAGGGCCUCAGCCCUCGCGGCCGGCGGCGCGGGAGUGUUGCGGGGCAGGGACCAGAGCGCGAUCAGAGCGGCCACCCCCGAUUUAGGUCGCCAGCUUUCCAGUCACUGCGAUGGCCACUGGGGCGCCCCUUCCAUCCUGGUUAAAUUCUCAUUGUGAUCCCCAGCCCUCUUCUCGGUUCCCCACACCCAGGAGGCCGGUUCUCCGCCGCUCAGGCUGGGAGAGGUCACCGCUCCGGGCAGGGUGGACCCCCAGCUCCGUCUCGGAGGACCUUUCGCCGGAGGCGAGCAGGAAGGGGUUAACCAUGAGCCUCCCACCCUCACCUCCCAGACCCUGGUGCCGGGCUAAGGCCUCCGCUUCCCUCCUGAGGUCUCAUUAGGAAACCCUCACCGCUAUUUUCAACAUUUCCUCAAUCAAGUGCCUUUAAAUAGAGCUGCACAAACAGAUUGGCGGCAAAAGCGUAGAUCUUGUCACGAUUGAGACCAAUCCAGUAUUUCAGCCUUGUUUGCUUUGCAAUUACGGGUUGGCUUGUGGCUACGGUGCCACCGGGGCAAAUCUGCAGCCGCUCGCUUUCUCCUCUGCGCUCCGGGCGGGUGGAGGAAGCGACCCGCGGAGUCACUGCAGGGAGGAGAGGGGGACGCGCGCGGGGGGAGGCGGCGGAGGGCGGAGGAGACUCGCUUGCACCCCAGGGCCGCGGGCACGCAGAGCUGUGUUGAAGGACAUACUUUUCAGGUUCCUGACAGUCACUGAGCUAUACGCAAUAAUAAAGUGCGUGAUUCGCGUGUGGAAACCAGUGUCGUGUCCUUACCAGCUUCCUUUUCUGUCCACCUUCCCUCUCUCUUCUACCUCCGUUUCGCUUUUCUUCAGUGCAUGUUAGCGGUUUGCUGGAUUUCCCUUCUCCCUCGCUGUUCAACUGCUAGCAUGAUUUGUUACAUUUUCCACAGCUGUUUAUUCUUGUUUGACUUUUUGUACAAAGUCACUUUAAAUCUGCUGCAGAAAGAAUAAAGCACCUAGCCCUUUGGAUGGACUCCUGCAGGCGUGUGGCUGUCCCUGGCCCACUUUUAAUUCUUUGGAGAUGGCUCUUCUGUGUAAAUCAGCUGCUGGGUGCGUUCGGUCACCUCGUAGGCCAGCCUAGUUUGUAUCAGCAGAACAGUAGUGGACUCGACUCAGGUCGUAAGCCUUAUAUUUCACAGACAAUUAAAUCUUGGCUGCUGUUGAACAAAACUGUAAUAUUUACUUUGUUCUAUACCGAGAAGCACUUUUAAAGUAAAAA